AUGUCUGGGUGAACAUGCUUUCCAAAGAGAGGUUCUCCCUCAGGAGAACGAGUCGUGUUCAUGGGAAACUCAAUCCGGGUGUGAAGUGAGAGAGCCAUGUAAUCAUGCCAACGUGCUGACCAAGCCCGAUCCAAGAACCUUCUGGACUAAUGAUGAUCCAGACAUUGACAACAUUGCCAAGAUGGAGAUGGGUAAGUUGAGAAAGAUCUGUUUGUUUCUUGCUAUGUAGAUUCUCAUUCCUC
rnacentral:sRNA from 1 species